GCGCAGCGACGCCAGGGCCUCUGCUCCGAGGAGCCGCCCGGGGCCCCGGGGGCGAGGGGGGCACGUGUUUUUCUGGGCAUUGAUUUUUUCGGGGGACACGCGGAGCCGCGGAGCAGGUGGCAGGAGGAGCCGGCGCCAUCCCGACGGCGGUGCUCGCGGGGCGCACGUGCCUGGAGCCCCGGGGCCAGCAGUCGGGGUGUCGGCAGGUGCGGGGCCCGGGCAGGGAGGCGCUCGCAGGGGUGACAGCUCAGCUGGGGACUGUAUUUCCGAAGCGAAGCGCCGGUACACAGGUGUCUCCUCUCCUUCUCUAUAAAUUUUAACGUCCCUGAAGUCAGGAUGCUCUUUAAAUGGCUGUCGGCCGGGUGGCAGUUGUGAUGUAGUCGCGUUGUCUUAGAAACACCUUACACGAUUUCUGUCACUAAGGCUUUCCUGUUUCAUGUAUUCGCAAGAGGAACAUAUCACAAAAAUCUGUUCUGGCCUGAAGGAUCAUUUUUAAGAAGUAUAAAAAAUCCUAAAUGGCAAGAAAAACAGUCUUCUAGGACUCUCAUGAUCAUCAGGACACGGCUGUUCCCCUCAGAGUGUCUGCAGGCCCUUUCCUGAUGGCUCCAGACCCUCAGGCAGGACUUGGGGUAGUACAGGGUGGGCCUUACUGCCUCUGCUCUUGUUCUCCCCUGGGAUGCACUUUUCUCCUGUGUCUGCCUGGGAACAUUUACGCCAGCUUGGAAACCAGCUCAAAAAUCACCUCCUCCAAAGUCCUCAGACAAAGAGGGAUAGAAGAGAAAAACAUGGCUAUUAAAGUGUUCAGAUGGAUGGUGUUUAUCAGUCUACUACACAACGUAAGUACUAGUGCUGUGCCAGGUCCCAUGCUCGAUGCUCCAGGAUGGUGCUUCACCACCUAUGAUCAAGGCCCAGCCACUGCCAUUCCCAAUUCUUGCAGACUGAUGCAUGGCCCUAUGCUCAUGGCUUGUGUAUCAUCUGUACAACAUGGGACAUUCCUCAGUGCAGGAAUUCAACAGUACUCAGUCUGGUCUAGAUCCUAUUCAACCAAGCGAGCCCAGGAUACAAGCUUGGAUGUAGGAUGUCACAACAGUGGCACACUGCAGGAAAAUUCCUAA
rnacentral:lncRNA from 1 species